rnacentral:rRNA from 1 species
GAGUUUGAACCUGGCUCAGGAUGAACGCUGGCGGCGUGCUUAACACAUGCAAGUCGAACGAUGAUCCGGUGCUUGCACCGGGGAUUAGUGGCGAACGGGUGAGUAACACGUGAGUAACCUGCCCUUGACUCUGGGAUAAGCCUGGGAAACUGGGUCUAAUACCGGAUAUGACUCCUCAUCGCAUGGUGGGGGGUGGAAAGCUUUUGCGGUUUUGGAUGGACUCGCGGCCUAUCAGCUUGUUGGUGAGGUAAUGGCUUACCAAGGCGACGACGGGUAGCCGGCCUGAGAGGGUGACCGGCCACACUGGGACUGAGACACGGCCCAGACUCCUACGGGAGGCAGCAGUGGGGAAUAUUGCACAAUGGGCGCAAGCCUGAUGCAGCGACGCCGCGUGAGGGAUGACGGCCUUCGGGUUGUAAACCUCUUUCAGUAGGGAAGAAGCGAAAGUGACGGUACCUGCAGAAGAAGCGCCGGCUAACUACGUGCCAGCAGCCGCGGUAAUACGUAGGGCGCAAGCGUUAUCCGGAAUUAUUGGGCGUAAAGAGCUCGUAGGCGGUUUGUCGCGUCUGCCGUGAAAGUCCGGGGCUCAACUCCGGAUCUGCGGUGGGUACGGGCAGACUAGAGUGAUGUAGGGGAGACUGGAAUUCCUGGUGUAGCGGUGAAAUGCGCAGAUAUCAGGAGGAACACCGAUGGCGAAGGCAGGUCUCUGGGCAUUAACUGACGCUGAGGAGCGAAAGCAUGGGGAGCGAACAGGAUUAGAUACCCUGGUAGUCCAUGCCGUAAACGUUGGGCACUAGGUGUGGGGGACAUUCCACGUUUCCGCGCCGUAGCUAACGCAUUAAG